UACGAAGGGUGCAAGCGUUACUCGGAAUUACUGGGCGUAAAGAGCACGUAGGCGGUUUGAUAAGCGGAAUGUGAAAGCCCCGGGCUUAACCUGGGAACUGCAUUCCGAACUGUCAGGCUAGAGUAUGAUAGAGGUGAGCGGAAUUUCCUGUGUAGCGGUGAAAUGCGUAGAUAUAGGAAGGAACAUCAGUUGCGAAGGCGGCUCACUGGAUCAAUACUGACGCUGAGGUGCGAAAGCGUGGGUAGCGAACAGG
rnacentral:rRNA from 1 species